ACACACAAAGCACAUGCAAUGAAAGUAGCAAGGAAAGUUUGCAGCGUGUGGGAUACACUCAGACAGCAAUGUUACAAUAAUUAUUAAUGAAACAAUGAUAAGCUCUCUUUUUGUUGUCUGGGAGGAUCAGUGCUGAGCUAGAGUCCCGAGAACAGGCCGGAAUUGCUGGAUUGUGCUGCCACCUAGCGUACAGUAGGCGAGCACAGGCUACAUGAGAGCAGCCUGCUCCCAGCAUGGGGAUCAAGCAGGAUAAUACACCUUGCAGCAGUGCCAGGGAUGAGCUCAAACUUUCUCUCUCCUCCUCAGUGGCUGUGAGUGUGAGUGUGAGCUGAUCCUGCUAACUUCCAUUCACAACACCUUAUACUGAGAUUUGCUGGCAGGCAGCAGAAUUUACCAAGUGAUAAAGGAGCUGAGGAUGCAAUUAUUUGUGUCUCUCCCAGCUCUUCUCUAAGCUGUAACUAUGAAAAGAAGGAGCAAGGCUUUUUUUUUUCUGGAGCCCCUCUCUCAGUGUAGGGGGUGGUGGGGGGAAGGGGCACUGAAUCCAUUAGAGAGAGUUUCUGAUAAUUUCCAACCGAAUAGUUGAGGGUUAUUUCUUCCCCUAAAUAAUGGGAUUUUCAAUGGGUUCAUGGUCCUAUUGUACAGGGUCUGAUCAGAAGGAUGUUAUUGACUAUGCAACAGUGGGCUGCAUUGCUCCCUCUCAUCUCUGCAAAUAAACUCUUCCCCCUGCCUGCUGGUCAGAGAGAAGGUGCUGGCAGAAAGAGAUCUCCCUGUGCAACAUAUAGACGGUGCAGUAAUGGGAGACCCGGGGAAACAGAGGUUGGACGAGUUCCGGAGCUCCCUCUUCCAUUUCCAGCUUCCAGCAAAGGCUGCACAUCCCAGGGAUCUGACACUGAGAUCUACAAGUCUUUGAUAUGGAUGUAUUCUCCUCCAUUUCCGGAAAAUAAAUUCCAAAAUCUAUGUACGGCGUCGGGGGCCAAGCUGGAACUGCCGGGACUUGGACAGCGCGGGGCACGGUGGCGGGCUUCUUCUUUAGUAUUUAGAUUUAAAUAGGCAGAGGAGAUCUUUGCAGGAACUCGAAUGCUGCUUAUGAGUGUGCGAUUGGUGCAACGGAUAGACAGAUGCUACCUUCCAUAGCACUUUUAUACCCGCCAAACCUGCACAGCGUCUACCUUCUGAGAUGCAUGGAUUGAGAUCUUAAACAACGAAAAUUUAUUUUUAAUCAUUCAUCUCAGCCUAAUCCCCAUCCGCAUACUAUGGCCAAAAGAAAUCGAGAAGUUAGUAAUGAAGUAGAGUUUUAUGAGUUAAUUUAUUUGAGUUUUUAGAGCCACCAUGGGGGAUAAAUAGAGACUGCGAUGACUGACACACAAACCUCUGAGGAAACCGCUACCCAUUGAGGUGGAGAAACGUGUCAGCUGAUCAAAAACAUCAGGUGGAACGCACUGGAAGCUCCAAAAAACUGGAAGUCGCAGUACGCAACUAAGCAAGCACUCCCUGCCUUCCCCUCCAUGCUGCUUGCGUACUACAGCUCAGCUGGACACACCGAACCGCCUCUGUGCGGGAGAUACAGUGGGGUAAGCAUUGCCUCUAUGGACUGAGUAUUGGGAACGGACUGACUGCAUGGUCCACUCAGCGCUGCCGUUACCAUCAGCUGCUAGCAUCACCAACUAAGCAACAAACUGGUGAUUCAAAAAGGGCUGUGAUUUCACCUCCAUUUCUCAAUUGAGAGCACAUGGCAGUCUAAAGGAAACCAGGACUGAAGGCGCUUUACAGACAUCAAAAACAAUGCACAUAAUACAGAAGAUUUAAGUAAUACAGCAAUAGACAAGCCACACAGACAUAAAAGAAAACCUUUAGCACACAGUAAGCAUAAUGCAGGAUUGUUGUAGGCAUUUUGGGUAAUAACUUUCAAGGGUUGUGUAUUCCACCCUCAUAAGGUACCAGGUGAGGCAGCCAUCUUGGACACACUGCAUAGGAUUACCCAGGGUGGAAUAGUCCACCCCUAGAAGAGAGAACACAAAAUGGGGAGAUUGCAGUUCAGAGUAGGGUCCCAACAAAACCAGAUGAGGCAGCCAUGUUGGGCUCACUAUGAAGGUUACACUGUGGGAGUUGAGCCAUACAAGGGCCCAGUGCAUUUAUGGGAAAACUGACACAUGUGUAGUAGUAUGAUGUACCCUGUAUGUAGAUCACACUGGCAGGGCAUGCAAUCAGUGGAGGUACACAUUACAGGAAAAGCACACUGUGAGGUGGAAGAGUAAAAAAAAAAGGGGGGGGGGG